UAUAAUCUCAAAACCCAAGGUUUAAAGAGCCCAAACCUUGUAUGUAAAGGGUCGAGGGUCAUAGACUCGAAGUUGAGUCUCUACUAAAGCAAAUAACCCCUCCACACUGAGUCACAAACCAACAUACCCCUCUAUCACCCGAUAAAUGGUACACCGGGACAUUGAAUAUCACUAAGAACAUAGGUUCUACUUCAAGCUCGACAAAUAUUUAUGUUUGAAUUCGAAUACAAACUGAAAUUACUAAUAACUUCUAGCAACCCAAACCAAUAAUCUUUCAAUACUAACAAUAAUCAAUCCACAAAAAACAACAUGCUAAUUAUUUGGAUAAAAAAGUCAACUUGAACUCAUUCUUUUAAAUAUGUGAGUGCUAAACCAAAGACUGAAAUAACAUGAUCAGAUCUCUUUAUUGCCCAAACACAUUUAACAGAAUAUAAUCCAUCUAAGUUAUACCUUGAAUUAGAACAAAUUUCCACUAAUCACAGAACUUUGAGAACAAAGCACAUCAAUCACUCGAAAUUUGACAUUAUGCCAAUCUCUCAAGAGCACACUCUUAUCUUUGUAAUACAUAAAUAAUCAGAAAAUUUCAGUGGCAAGCAUAUUACAAAACACUAGGGAAUGUUGAAAGAAAAUAGGUAAACAGAAGAGAUAAAACCAAUCACAUGUUGGAUUCAAUUAACUUUCCACUCAAGACACAUGCUUUCACUCAAAUGUCCAUGGUUUGAGAUGGUACCUAGCAUUGAACAAACAAAACCAAAAGAGUGAGGGAUCAGCAAUAAGCAGCAGCAAACAUUAGCCCUGAUUCAACAUUUGAACAGUGAAAUUAGCUCAAAAGCUCAAUAGAACAGUAAACAAACAGAAGAGCUCGAACCAACACUAUAAAACCCCCAACUCAAUCCAUUUUAACCCCAAAAAUAGAAUCGGCAAUUUUUCGGAACUUUCCAAGGAAUUCUAGCUACUGAAAGGAUCAGUAAUUUCAAAUUUUUCAGAUUUUUAAACAAUUCUUUUAGUCGUUCAAGUUUUAAGAUUUUAUCUUCCAUUUUUCUCUACCUUCAACAUGAAGAAAUGGAUACCUUUAUAGGCAAGGCACUAGGGCGACCUAAAGAAAUCAUAUUUUUCAUUUGACCCUUUUCAUAUUUUCGUUUUUGCUCAAAACUCCUAAGUUUAAAACAUUAGAUUUCAUAUAAGUCCUCACCCCCAGCUUCUUAGAAGCUUCCUAUUCAGUUACUGAAACUAUUCUCCGUAUCAAUUACCUAGACUACCCUUCACUCCACUAUUUAUUACCCCAUGAGGCCAGGAAGAACCCGGGUCAAAUUGACCCACUGACUAAAUCAGACCUAGGCUCCAAAAAACAAUUCGAAUCACUUCCAAAUUGGGAUUUUUUGAUUUUUCAUUGAAAGCUAAAAGCCAAAAAAAAUUCUUUAGAAUUCCACUCGCAAAGUCUCAAAAAUUUUGAAUGUUUCGGGCUCCAAAAAACAAAAAGCUAACCCAGAAUUUAUCACCAAGACACAAUUAACAAUUAACAAAGCCAAUAAUUCAAACACACAUGCAGACGGCGUGAAGAAGUAAAAACAAAAUAAAAAAUAAAACUCAGAAAGAUAAACUAAAGAAAAGGGUAGAGGCAAACGACAACAGAACAAAUAUAGAAAUUAAAUAUUCAAAUGGUAAACAAAAGAAAUACCGAAAAAUCUCGGACCAAAGCUUGGAAUGGAACCCAGGCCUUCAAGUUUUGGCCGAAAUGAACCUUAAACGUGUGUUUUCAAACGAACACACACGAAUAGGAUUAACUUCGACCUCAAAUCUUCAAUAAAAGCUUGCAAAUUUGAAUGUUGGGCAUUUAUUGUUCGUGCUCGGAAUUAAAAUUUGAAGAUUUCAAGGAACGUUCGAGGGAAAAUAGUCAUGGAUUUGGAAAGGGGGGAGGGGGGCUCUGGGGUUCUUGGGUGUAAUUUUGGUGAUGUUUUGAGGUGGCGCCGCCAAUGGAGGCGGCUAGAAUAUUAGGGCAGUGCUAGGGUUGGUGUGGGAUUCUAUGAGGGUGAAGUGAAUAAGAGAGACGGGUUUGGGGGAGGGGGGUACUGAGAUUCAUACACAAUUAUACUCAGCCCACCCCGCUUCAGGACCGUUUGAUCGAACAAAUCCAACGGCCCAUAUCAAAACUAAUUAAAACAGUGUCAUUUCGAUUUAAGUGGGUUUUGGACUAGGUCGGGGCGAACCUGGGCUAGUCUUUGGACGGGUAAUUUGAAUUGGGGUCUAGGGGUUUCCAAUUUUUGGACCAAAUCAAACUUUCCUCUCUUAUUUCUUUUUUUUUAUUACUUUUCCUAAUUUUUUUAAUAUUAAAAUUAAAUAUAGCACCUAAAAUAAUUCCUAAUGAAGUAAUCCUAUCAAUUUAAACUAAUUAACUCUAAGUAAUAAUUAACAGAAUCAAUUACACCCCAAAUUAAAGGAGAAACUACCAAAAUUCAAAAUUAAAACUAAAAAGUGCAAAAAUAAACUAUUUUUGUGAUUUUUCCCAUUUUUAUAAAACAACUAAUUUAUUAAUCAAUCCUAAAAUGUAGAAUUAAAUCUUAAAUGAAAAUGCAAUAUAUUUUUGUAUUUUUCAUUAACUAAACAAAGAUAACAUGCACAGACAAAUGCAAACAGUUGAUGAAAAAUGCUACAAAAAUCUACGAAAUUGCAAAUAAUAGAAAAUUUUGUUUUGUUUUGAAUUUAUGGGAGUAAUUCAUAUAGGGAAAAAUUACAUGCUCACAAUUUUCCCUCUUUACUCGGAAACACGAGGAGUUUUUGUGCAAAGAAAAAGUAAGCUUGUACGAGCGAUUUUUGCCCGCUUGAAUAGUCCGUAGGAAGUAUUUUUGAAAGAUUUUGACUGCACCCUGCUUCCGAUGUUACCUACAUAUUCUUGGCUAAAAAGAUAUCAUGUCAGUGUAGUUCGGGAAGUUUCGGUAGCUAUGACUACCAUGAAGUUGUGAUUUCAUUGUUGUUGCUACUGCUUACUGAACCCUUUAGUACACCAUGACAAAAUAAAAGAAGUUAGACUAAACUAUGAUCUAUGAAUUACAAGGAUUCUAUCCAUAUCUUCAAACUUGAUCUUGUAGUUCAUGUUGCCUUGUUGACUUGUAUUUUCUAGGUGAAGUUCCUUUGUUGCCGACUUGAAUUUACAGAUACUUUCCCCUUUUUUAGGUGAACACCUGAUUGCCAAAAACUAGAGUUGUAUUCCCUUAUUUUCCAGGAGGGCACCUGAUUGCCAAAGCUUGAACUAUAUUCCCUUGUUUUCCGGGUGGGUGCCUAAUUGCCAAAAACUUGAACUAUAUUUCCUUGUUCUCUAGGUGGGUGCCUGAUUAUCAAAAUUCGAAUUGUAUCCCAUUGUUCUCCAAGUGGGCACUUGAUUACCAAAACUUGAACUGUAUUCCCUUGUUCUCCAGGUGGGAUCCUAAUUUCCAAAAUCUUGAACGGUAUCCCUUUGUUCUCCUGGUAGACGCCUGAUUUCCAAAAAUUUGAGUUGUAUUCCCUUGUUCUCCAAGUGGGCUCCUGAUUGCCAAAACUUGAAUUGUAUCCUCUCGUUCUCUAGAUGGGCGCCUGACUGCCAAAACAUUAACUGUAUUCCCUUGUUCUCCAGGUGGGCUCCUGAUUGCCAAAACUUUAAUUGUAUUCCCUUGUUCUCCAGGUGGGCUCCUGAUUGCACAAACUUGAGUUGUAUUCCCUUGUUCUCCAGGUAGGCUCCUGAUUCCCAAAACAUAAGUUGUAUUCCCUUGUUCUCGAGGUGGGCGCCUGAUUGCCAAAAACUUGAACUCUAUCCCCUUGUUCUUCAGGUGGGCGCCUGAUUGCUAAAAACUUGAACUAUAUCCCCUUUAAUCUCCAGAUGGACGCCUGACUGCUAAAAACUUGAGUUGUAUUGCUUUGUUCUCCAGGUGGGUGCCUUAUUGCUUGGUCUGACUACUUUCCAUUAUUGAAACUCAUGUUAUCUUCCCUUAUUCUCCAGGUGGAUGUCUAAUUUCAACAAAAAGAUAAAACAAAGAAAAUUUUCAACCCUAGUUUGGGUGGCUGGGCACAUCUGUGAGUGUUAACUGAGUUAUAUUACUAAAUAUCACUAAGAAAUUUGAAAGCUAGAUCCCAACGACUAUUUUAAAGCUAAAUUAUAUCUUUUAAAGGUUUGACUUCUGCUAAAUCUUGUUAUCUAAGAAAGCCUUAAAACUACAUCUCAUUAUCCAUGAGGGCCCUGAAAACUCCUAAUUUAAUCCUAUCUCAAGCUUAAAAACUUUGAAACCAAUUUAUAUUCCUUUGCAUGCAUUUAUCCUAGAUCUUGCUACUCUUUAUUGUUUCGAAUUAUAAACUAGGUUCAAUUUCUAGUAGGGUCCUGAAAACUUCAAAUUAAAUCCCAUUAUCCAGGAGGGUCCUAAAAAUUUACGGUCAAACCCGUGUGGUGCUUGCCUUUCCUUACAGAGGGUUUCUCCGAGACAAUCAAAAAAAUUUCCCUUGUUUCAAUCAAAGAAAAAUAUUGUCAGUUUAAAACUGUGGUGGUUAGUUUGUCGCAUUCUUGCUGAAGAUGCUCUUUCCGAUGUCGUGCUUUGGUUUGACCGAAUUCCCCAAACUGGCCAAGAACUGCUUGAGUCUCCUACUAACUUUCACCCCCAUGACCUUGGAUGACCUGAGUGUUCCAUUCCUAAACCGUUAUGUUACACCUCUGAACCAUCUAUUUGAACCUCUGCACCUCCCACUAAAUUACUAAACCAUUUUAUUGAUAAAACUUCCACUGACCGUUUAUAUCACAUUUCACAUCAUACUGUCUCUAGCAAUACCUUGGCCGCCGUGUGCUUUGUGUAACUUUGGUAGUGAGCUUUGAAAUCCUUUCUUAUUUGCUUAAACAAAACUGACAUUGGAAAUAUUUUAGAGAAAUAAACCCAAAAGAAAUGAAAUGCAAUGACUUUGAGAGUUAGGGGUAAGAAAAAUUCAAAACUGGACGACUGUCUGAAGGGAAAAAAGAAAAGAGGAUUAUCUGAGUGGAGCAGUCGCCACCAAUGACCAUGACAUGUAUUUUGGAUUAAUUGGCCUAGUCUUUCCAACCAACCAACUUUUAGUUUCCGUACUUUAUGACCCGAAAUCUUCAAACCUAACUUCUUCACCAAAACCUUUCCCUUGUUCGACCCGCGGUACCCUGAAGUGUUUUCACCAACAAACCUCUCUCAUUUGUUCAUCUCUCAACUCACUAUCGCAUUAAGGUGCCAGUGAAGGUUUCACCAAUAAGACUCUCCCAUUUUUUAUUUCUCUUAGCAUUCCAUCACCUUACAGUGCCCGUGAGGGUUUUCACCAAUAAGACUCUCAUUUUUCAUUUUCCUUAUUUGGACCGGAGUGUUGCCCCUGACAAGAAUCCCUCUACAUGCGCGACUUGGCAUCUCUCGAAGACUGAUUGGAAGGCCUUUCUUUGGACUGCAAUGUGGGCUUUUGGAUAGGGUUAGAAAGAAAGGGUAUCAAAAAGGCUCAAAACAACUUAAAUGAAUUCCAUAUUACAACUUUCGGAAUCAGAUUUCUGGCAACAUCCAAAACUUUUGCCCAGUUUCUUUGCUUGGGGACUUUUGAGUUUUAUUUUGAUGGGACUGAACUGUGAGAAUGCCUACGUAUAUUUAAUUGGAAUCAGGUCAAACGUAGUUCAUGGGAAUUUCUUUGUUGUUGUGAUUUUCUCUUUUACUUUCUUUUCUUUCUUUCUUUGUUUUUCCUUUUUCUCUUUUUGUUGUUUUGUUGUUUUUAUGUUUCUCCCCUUUUUUCUUCUUUUUCUUUCUCUUUUCAUUCUUUUUAUUUUCUCUUUUCCUUUACUUAUCUUUCACAUUUGUUAUCUUUGCUAACUAUUUCAAAAGAGGGGUACGAAAGAAAAUAAAUAAGGCUCAAAGGGGAUGGGGGUAACAAAGGAUAAAGUAUUUAGAUAGCAGAACAAAAUGCCUUCGUCAUUCCAAUCUUUAAAACAUGACAAGUACAAACAAACACAAUUUAACCAAAGAAAUCAUACAUAAUAUCUCUUCACCGCAUGAGAACUGAUAGUCAUUUCUACACACUUGCCUUUUAUAUUUGUUAAAUACAAAGCACCAUUAGACAACACUCUAGUUACAAGGAACGGCCCCUGCCAAUUUGGGGCAAACUUGCCUUUGGCCUCAACCUGAUGUGGAAGGAUACAUCUCAACACUUGAUGACCCACUUCAAACUUCUAUGGAUGCACCUUCUUAUUAUAUGCUCUUGCCAUUCUUUAUUGAUACAAUUGGCUAUGACACACUGCUGCCAAUCUUUUCUCAUCGAUCAAACUUAAUUGUUCCAGGCAGGUUUUGACCCACUCAUCAUCACCAAUUUCGGCUUCCGCGAUAAUCCGAAUGGAUGGUAUUUCCACUUCUGCGGGUAUUACUGCCUUAGUUCCAUACACCAGCAAAUAAGGAGUUUCCCCUACUGAAGUACAAACAGUAGUGCGAUAACCUAACAGUGCAAAUGGAAGCUUUUCAUGCCAUUGGCUGGACCUUCUACCAUUUUCUGAAGUAUUUUCUUUAUGCUCUUGGUUGCUGCCUCGACUGUUCCGUUCGCCUUGGGCGGUAUGGGGUGGAAUUGUGAUGCAUAAUCUUGAACCGCUGACAUACCUCUUUCAUCAAAUGACUAUUGCCAUUAGUACCAUUAUCUGUAAUGAUCAUCAUUGGGACCACAAACUGACAAAUAAUAUUUGAGUGUACAAAAUCGACCACCACUAUCUUGCUCACAAACUUAAACGUUUUAGUCUCAACCCACUUGGUGAAAUAAUCGAUGGCCACCAGAAUGAACUUGUGCCCAUUGGAUGCCAGCUCAAUCGGUCCAAUGACAUCCAUGCCCCACGCAACAAAACGCCAUGGUACAGACAUUGUGUGCAAUUCAUAUGGCGGGGAAUGAAUCAGAUCUCUGUGCACUUGACAUUGAUGACACUUGCGCACAAUACUGUUAUAAUCUCGCUCCAUAGUGAGCCAAUAAUAACCCGCUCGGAGAAUUUUCUUUGCAUGCGGUCCACAAACUCCAGAAUGUACUUCGGUCAUGAUAGAUGUGGCCUGUCUAGCAUCUAUGCAUCUUAAUAACCCAAGAUCUGGAGUUCUUUUAUACAAAACCCCUCCAAAGAAGAAAAAUCCACUUGCCAGCCAACAAAUUGUUCUCUUUUGUAUCACAUGUGGCUUGUAAUGGAUAUACCCCCAUCCUGAUAUACUUCUUGAUCUCGUGGAACCAUGCUCACCAUCAAGUUCUUCUUCCACCACAUUGUAGUAAACAUCUGAUCGCGGACCUGAAUAUGCAAAGUGUCAAUAUAAGCCUUAUCUGAUGAUGUAACAUCGACUCCAGAGUAGCCUCGGCAACCUCAUUAUGGAUCCUUGGAAUAUUCCUGAACUCUACUGAUCGAAACCGUUGACAAAGGUCAUGCAAACAUUAUCAGUACGGUAUGAGUUUUAAAUCUCAUAUUUUGUAUUCCCCUUGAAUCUAGUCUACCAGAAGGACCGAGUCUCCCAAGACCAAGACUUCUUACACACCCAUGUCUGCAGGCAACCUCAAACCCAAAAUGCAUGCCUCCUACUUAGCCAUGUUGUUAGUACAGUAGAAACGAAGCUGGCCGUAACAUCGUACUGCUUCUGUUACAAAAAUAAGCACGCUCAUAUCCCAACGCCCUUCAUGUUAGCAGAUCCAUCAAAGAAAAAUUUCCAACCCGGCUCUUUAACUCCAACUCAUCAAUAUGCAUUACCUCUUCAUCAGGGAAGUAAGUCUUUAAAGGCUCAUAUUCUUCAUUUACUGGAUUCUCGGCCAAAUGGUCAGCCAACGCAUGGGCUUUCAUCGCAGUCUGAGUCACAUAGAUGAUGUCAAAUUCUAUGAGCAAGAUUUGCCAGUUUACUCCAUAUGGUCAUACGCUUCUGUAAGAUUCACUUUAGUGAAUCGAAAGAAGAGAUGAGGUAAGUAGUGUAAGUUGACAAAUAAUGCUUCAAGUUUUGUGCUACCCAAGUUAGGGUGCAACAUGUCAUUUCCAGGUGAGUGUACUUAACCUCGUAAGAUGUGAACUUCUUGCUAUGAUAAUAGAUGGCCUGCUCCUUCCUGCCAGUGAUGUCAUGCUGACCCAGCACAACCAAACGAAUUGUCCAAAACUGUCAAAUACUGAAUCAAGGGUAUCCCUAGUUGUGGAACACAGGUGGUUUUGACAAGUACCCCUUUAUCUUAUCAAAUUCUUCUUAACACUCAUCUGUCCACUUGAAGAUAGGCUCACAAGUUGUCGUAAGCUGAGCAAUAAACCUGCUGAUGUAGUUCAACCUCCCUAAUAAACUCAUUACCUCAGUCUUGUUCCUCGAAGGUGGAAAUUCUUGGAUAGCUUUAAUCUUUGACGGGUCCAAUUCAAUACCUCGAUGACGGACUAUGAAUCCCAACAAUUUUCCAAACAGCACACCGAAUGCCCAUUUUGCAGGAUUGAGAUUAAGAUUGUACGUGUGAAGCCUUUGGAAGAACUUUGUCAAAUCUCUGACAUGGUUAGACUGACUUCUAGACUUUAUGAUCACAUCAUCCACAUAAACCUCGAUCUCCUUGUGUAUCAUUUCGUGUAACAUAGUCGUCAUUUCCCUCAUGUAAGUUGCCCCAGCAUUUUCCAAAUCUAAGAGCAUGACCCUGUAGCAGUAUGUUCCCCAUGGCGUGAUGAAUGCCUUUUUUCGGUAUCUUCCUCAACCAUUAUAAUCUGAUGAUAGCCCACAUAGAAAUCCACAAAAGACCCAAUCUCAUUAUUGGCACAAUUAUUAAUCAAAAUAGGGAAAUUUGGCAAUGGGAAUUUGUCCUUUAGACUUGCCUUGUUUAGAUCACGGUAAAUCAACACACACUCUGGUCGUGCCUUCCUUCUUUGGCACAGGCACAAAAUUGGCUAACCAAGUGGGAUACCGCGUGACUCGAAUGACCCUUGCUUCAAGCUGCUUUGUGACCUCUUCUUUAGUCUUUACACUUAUGUCAGUUUUAAACUUCCUUAACUUCUUUUUGACAGGAGGAAAUGUCAGGUCAGUGGGCAAUUUGUGAACUACCAAGUAAGUGCUUAGACUAGGCAUUUCAUCAUAUGACCAUGUAAAGAUAUCUUUGUACUCAAACAGUGCUUUGAUUAUUUCUUCCCUGAGUUGUGGUUCAAUAUGGACACUUAUCUUAGCUUUUCUAAUAUUAUCGGGAUCCCCUAAAUUUAUUACUUCUGUAUCACUCACGUUACGCUUGGGUUUUUCUUCAAAAUGGCUUAAUUCUUUAUGAAUCUCUUCAAAGGCCUCAGCAUCAUCAUAUUCUGAUUCGUCCUCACACUCUAUUUCUUGAUUUAUUAUUUUAGAAUUAGAUUGACUUUUAAGACAGGGCCGAAGAUACCUCAUGCAUGCCGUGUCAUUGAAACCAACAUAAAAAUAACUGUACAAGGAAGAAAAGAAAAAUAAAAAUAAACUAUCAGGAAUGAUGAAAAAGGGAAAUUGCAUUUCACUGAAAUUAAAAGAUAACAAGGUUUAUAUAUCCAAACGGACGGAACAUAGAAUCUGAAUUACAACCCUUGAAUAAUCCAGUUUAAGAUAAACUAAACGAAAAUCAAAGCAAAUUAACAAAACUCUUUCCUGGUGUGGUGAGGAGUAGCUUCCCAAUUGUUAAUCUUUGCACUAGGCCCAACAAAUUGCAUAGCUGCCUUGCUAGAAGCCUUUCCAGCUUUCACCAUGUUCACAUCGUUAAACAACUUCUCGAAUCUUUCAAUCAACUCUUUAUUAGGACCAACCACAAAACUGGGAACUAUUGUUUACUGGGCACUUCCUGGCGCCAGGCUUGACAAACGACCGAGAGAGAUGUGGGAUGGGCUUUGGGAGGACUCAUGCCCUCUGUUUCAACUUUUUGGCUCUUUCACAUCUGUAACCAUGGGCUUGAAUCCAAAAGAAAAUGUAUCCAAGUCAUUGGGGAGAGACACCGGUUGUACGAUACCUUGCAUUGAUGCACCCAAACCCUUGGAAGGUACAAAACCAUUUUUCAACAUUCCAACAGCUAUCAUGACUGAUGUGGUGGUUACCUUCAGAAUUGGAAUGCAUUUCCGUUCUAAAUUUUCUCGACUGACACUGUGUCAAAAACCUGAUAAACCCAAGGUCCCAUGUCUUCCUCAGCCUCAAUGAACGGAACAUUGGCAUUACUGGAAGCACAUAAACUAUCCUCGCCGUGCACAAUGAUUUCGUGUCUAUCAUAUUCAUACUUACCAUCUGAUGCUGGGUAGAUGGUACUGCUUUGGCAGCAUGAAUCCAAGGUCAGCCUAGCAGUAGAUUGUAAGAAACAGCCAUAUUUAGCACCCGGAAUUUCAUGGUAAAUUCAACUGGUCCUAUUGUCAACUCCAGCACUAUAUCACCGACUGAAUCUUUCCCUCCACCGUCAAAACCCUGAAUGCAAAUAUUGUUCUUGUGAAUUCUUUCAUCAUCGAAAUUCAACUUGUUCAGAGUGGAGAGAGGGCAAAUGUUCACACUAGAACCAUUAUCCCAAUACCUGAGUAACCACAGAAUUUUCAAAUUUCACCAUAAGAUAGAGGGCUCUAUUGUGCUCACUACCCUCCACAGGUAACUCAUCAUAGAAAAAGUGACUAUGUUUACCUCAAAUAUCUUAUUAGCUAUUUUUUCCAAAUGGUUUACUGAGAUUUUAUCAGGAACGUGGGAUACAUUCAAUAUUUUCAUCAAUGCCUGAUGGUGCUAGUUGAAAUGAAUUAACAAUGACAAUAGUGAAAUCUGAGCAGGCGUCUUCCUCAACUACUCUACAAUGGAAUAGUCUUGCACCUUCAUCUUUCUCAAAAACUCUUCUACCUCUUCUUCGGUCACAUAUUUCUUCACAAACACUGUGUUAUUUUUUGAGGUUUUGGCUUUUCUUAACUCCUGGGGGGCAAAGCAUUUCCCACUUUCUUCACUAACACUAGGUUAUUUUUGGAGGUUUUUGAUUUUCUUAACUCCUUAUGGGCAAAGCAUCUCCCCGAGCGAGUCAAUCUAUGGGUCUUAUAGAUUUCUUCUUUAACUUCUUUUCCUUUGUAAGUCAUUAUCACCCGUUCAUAAUUCCACGGGACAGCCUUGCUAUUGACUAUUAGUAGCUGGGUUACAGGUUUGAUAAUGACAGGAUGUGUACGGGCACCCUUCACAAUUACGACAGGCUUGUUUGCCACCCCCUGGCACAACCACUUUUGCUUUUUCUUGUUUCACUACAACAUCACAUGAGGACUCUUUCUUGAUUAUUGCAGAUGGAUCACUUCUUGUCCCGCUCAACUUGAUCACCGACCUAUCACUUGUUAGUUUUUCAACCGGCUUUACGUCACUGGAUCGGAUCAUCAUGACGGUCUGCGAAGGCUUUUUGGGCUCCCUUUACUUAUACACUAUCUUAAUCAUAUUUGUCUCUUGAUGGGUUAGCAGCGGGUUCUAGUUGAUAUUGGGCACCUUCGCAGCUUGGACUUCAAUCCGAUGUGUAUCAAUGAGCUCUUGGAUAGCGUUUUUCAAAUGCCAGAAUUUCUCCAUGUCAUGCCCUGGAGCACCAGAACAAUAUUCACAGCUUGCAGAAUAAUCAAGAUUUCUCGGGGGUGGAUUUGGAUUGGAAAUUUUGACUCAAUCGGCCUCAGCAUUUCCAAUUGUCUCCUGUGGAAUAAACUAGUAUAGGACUGUUCCAGUGGAGUGAAGGUUUUCUUCUUCUACAAAAUCUCGUUCUUGAAAUCUUGAUUGGACGGGAAAGCUGGUGUAGGAGGGUUUUGGUAGGCUCAUGGGGUAGGUAAUUAUUUUGUGGAGCUGUGUAGGUAUUCUGUGGGGAUGGCGCAAGCCAUUGUGCGUGGGCCGGAGGUUGGCUGUACGUUUAGGCAUGGUGGGCAUAAAAAUGGGGGUCUAGUGGUGGGUAGUAGUGUUGGGGUAGAUUAUACAGAGUGUGAGGGUAGGUUUGGUGGUGGGGACAAGGCUGAUAAUAGUGGUGAAGUGAACCGUUGGGUCCGAACCAAGCCCCUGAAUCAAUCAUUGCUACAUCUUGUUUCUUCUUUUAUCCAAUUACCCUCCCCCCCCCCCCCCCCCCCCNNNNNNNNNNNNNNNNNNNNNNNNNNNNNNNNNNNNNNNNNNNNNNNNNNNNNNNNNNNNNNNNNNNNNNNNNNNNNNNNNNNNNNNNNNNNNNNNNNNNNNNNNNNNNNNNNNNNNNNNNNNNNNNNNNNNNNNNNNNNNNNNNNNNNNNNNNNNNNNNNNNNNNNNNNNNNNNNNNNNNNNNNNNNNNNNNNNNNNNNNNNNNNNNNNNNNNNNNNNNNNNNNNNNNNNNNNNNNNNNNNNNNNNNNNNNNNNNNNNNNNNNNNNNNNNNNNNNNNNNNNNNNNNNNNNNNNNNNNCCCCCCAGUUCCACUUUGAAUAGCCUGGGUGCUAGCCUUAAUAGUCGAAUAGCUAAUAAUUUUGUUUGUCUUGACCCCUUCUUCUAACAUACCACCUAUCUUCACCACUUCAUUGAAUGACUUGCUUAUAGCUGAUACCAUAUGACCGUAAUAAGUAGGUUCUAAGGCCUGCAGAAAAUAAUCCACCAUUUCACUUUCUUUCAUUUGAGGGUCAACCCUUGCUGCUUGUUCUCUCCACCGAAAUCCGUACUCCCUGAAGCUUUCGUUGUGCUUUUUCUCAAUCUUUGCUAGAGAUAGGAGAUUCGUAAUAAUCUCAAGAUUGUAUUGGAAGUGACAAGCGAAUGCUUGUGCCAUAUCGUCCCAUGUAUACCAUCUUCCGUGAUCCUGUCAGGUGUACCACUCCAGCGUCGAACCGCUCGGACUUUGACUGAAAUAUGCCAUUAGCAACUCGUCUUUCCCGCCAACUCCCCUCAUUUUGCAACAAAAACCUCUCAAUUGCGCCACUAGAUCACCGUGCCCAUCAUACAAAUCAAACUUGGGCAUUUUAAACCCUACAGGCAAUUGCAUAUCUAGAAAUAUACAUAAAUCUUUGUAAGCCACACUUACUUGACCUCCAAACCCCUGCAUGUCACUGAAUGACUGUUCUAGGCUUUUAACUUUCCUGAACAUCUCCUUAUAUUCGGGAAUUUUAGAUGGUUACUUAGUUUCCACGUGGAGAUCAAAAAGUGGAGUGUAGGAAUAGGGUUCUGGAGCUUUGAAAGUAGGCUCUGGGGUAAUAUUUGUUAUCAUGGUCUUGGAAUGAAGGCUCGUUAGGGGAUCUAUAGAGUGUAGCGGGCAGGGGUGCCAUGAGGACAGGAGUGGCUGGUGGAGGAGGGUAUGGGAUUGGUUUAGGCAGUGGAGCAUGUGGUGUUUGGGAAGUGGUGUCGUGGUAGUGGUGAUGAAUAGGAAAACUCAUAGAUGAAUCAGUGGUGGGAUGUUUCUGAGACUAAGCCAAUGGCGGAAAGAAAGCGGGUAUGGCGGGGUAAGGUGGUGGUGGGUGCCCUUUUACCCAUGCUUGAUACAUCUCGACCAUCUGUUGUUUCAGCUUAUACAUCUUUUCUUUCAAGUUAACAUCCGUAUUUUCCCUCUCUCUCGAAGGAUCGAUAACACUUGCAUCAAGUUCUUGGUUGGCCAUGAUCGACUUGUUUUUAGACCUGGUGUUGUAUGGGUGAGUUGCGAGAAUUCCAAUCAAACUAACCACCGUCAUGUACUCAUUAUCAACAGCAAACUUGUUAGCGGUUAGAGCUUAACAUAUAGGCAACUGCAUAUUCAAUAAUGUAAUGCACCUAAUCAGGUAACCGUUUCUAUUACGCAUUUGAUCAGUUGCUUGUAUCAUCCCAACUUUUCUCUUAUUUCCAUUUGCAACUUCUUUUUCUUUCUCUUUUAUUUCUUUUUCUUUUCUACUUUUUUUUCUUUUCAAACUCGCUUUUCUUUGCUAAAUUUCUCGUUGUUCUUUAUUCUCUCAUUUUUCUCUCGUGUUUUGUGAUUUUUUCCUCCAUAUUAUUUGUUUUCUCUAUCCUUUGUCUUUUUCUUUUCUUUUUUUUCUUUUGGUUAUGAUCGAAUCCUAUGGAGAUUGACUAUGUAUCAUGACCCCACAUGAAUCAGACUAAGUGUAGUUUUGGGGGAAAAGUGUAAGAAUAAAUAAAACAUUUUGGGAUUUUCAAAUUCUUCAUAAAAAGAAAAUGAUUUGAUUACAACGACUCAAAAACUAACAGACUCUAAAAGGAACUAACAAACUCUGAUGGAAAGAUGAAAAUACAAACUCAAAAACAAACUAACAGACUCCAACAUAAAGAAGCAAAUAUAAAUGCGCAAACAGACUAACAGACUCCAAAAAAAAUCAUGAAUAAAUCAAUGCCUCAACUGCUCUUGGGGCCCGCUGGACAUCAUUCGGUUUCGUCGCAGGCCUACGCGCUAAAUCCCCUUGGAGGUGGUAGAGAUCUUCUAUUAUCUGGCGAAAAAGGUUAUCAUAGUGACGUAGAAGAUGGAUCUUGUCAUUUCCUUACAUUUACUGCAUUUCAUUGUGAUGUAGUCGGCGAUCCUUCUGACCCUCUCUCUUAUGACAUCCUAUUCUUGCAACAAAGGCCCAAUUUGUUGGGCCGUAGCUUCCAAAGUUUGUUCAGCUACUUGAUUUUGUUCUUGAAGUUGUUGCAAAUCUCUUUCUAACCGUGCCAUUGCUGCAUAACAGCGUUCUCUUUAGCCUUAAAGUCUUUCACCUACUUGAUCAUUUUAUUCUCAACGAUGAUGACCCUUUUCUUCAACCCCACAAUCUCGUUGUCGUAUUUCUCUUUAAACUGUUUAACCAGGCGCUCGUUCCUCGGAUUCUUAGCCAAUUUUGUUCGAGCCCUGGCAAGUUCACCCUCUGCUUUGUUCAAAUCAAAACCCAUACUCACCCAUCUUAUUCCUAAGGUUCUUUAUAAGCUUUUCAUCCUUUGCACUUCUGGCGGAAUUUUCAUCUGCUAUUUUCAUUUCUCGAAUCUGGGCUCAAAGGGCCUCAUUUUCUUUGGCUAGCCUUUUCUUUUCACCCUCAUCCGUCGCGGCUUGCAAACGAUUCUCAAAUUAAAGGUCCUUGACUUGUUUUUCCAACUUCCCUAUCGUAGCCCAGUACUCAUUCUCCUUGGCCAACCAAGCCCACUGUUCUUACGAUGCCUUGACGAAUUCCUAAAUAUGAGCUUUUUGUCUGGUCUUCCAGGUUUGGCCCUUGCAGUGUUCUUCUUUUUAUACCAGGCAAGAUAGUCAGGUGAGACCUCGCCUCUAGAUAGGUCACACACUCGAGUGUUCGCUGUCAAAUACUGGCACUCAUUCUAAAUAGCUCGAACUGUUUCUUCAUGAUUGGUCGUCUGAGCUAACUUCGACCGCAUAAACACUAAGAUCUUCAUCUGAGUGCAUCACCUCGCACCUUCCCAACUGUCUCAUCACUCGGUAUGGAGAAUAAGGCUGAAUGCCUUGAAGACCCAUUAGGAGGAAGUAAGGAUUGAUGGCGAGCAUAUACACAAUUUCUUCAACAGGAAGCCAACCCAGUGUCCACUCUAUUUGCCCCGCAGUGAUGGAGCGGAGGCGGGAUACCCAAUAUUCAAACCCUUCUGGAAGCUUGAACCUUGAAAUCCUUAUGUCAAACUCUUCAAUGCAGUUUUUCUCUACGGACCCAUAACUCAUAUACUGAGGGCGGUGAUACAGGUGUUCGAUCAUCCACAUCUGUAAUAGCAAAUUGCAUCCCUCGAAGAAAUCUGCCCCAGCUUUACAAGCUGUGAGAGCUCGGUAUAUCUCAGACACUAUCAUAGGGGCAAGAGUGCUCUUGGCAUUGGUAAUCAAGACUUUGAUGACUCCAGCCACCUGCAGAUCGAUAUUUCUAUCUUUCUGGGGAAACACUACGAGGCCUAAGAAAGCUACCAUAAAAACGAAACGCAUAUGCUCGUCCCAUUUUGCUCGGUUCCCUUUGCUACAAAACCUACUUUCAGGAUUGUCGAAUCCUCCUACAUACCUGUAUCUCUAGUGUAUGAAACGUAGAGUGUAAAAACCAUAUGCCAAUUUAAAGUAUUGGAAUCCCUUGCUUAUUUUUCGUUGAUCCAUGAAUUUGUGAGACUUAACAGUACUUGGAGAGAUCAGAUACUUAUGCCUUGGACCUUCAGUACUUCCCAUAUAACCUGCUAUCUCUUCCAAGAUGGGUGUGAGUUCAAUAUCCGAGAAAUGCAAGCCGCUUGAACUGGGUCCUAAAACAUAAUCAACGGCUUUAUGAUGUCUCCUCUAGGCCUGAUCUUCAACAACCCGGUGAGACCUCCCAAGUAUAGAUUGACCGUAUCUUGCUCUGAUUUACCCAAAUCUUCCCACCACAUAUGCAACUCCAGAGGGAUCUUGUUCAUGACUGUUAUUGGUAAAUUUUGACUCAUGCUCAUUCUACACAUUUAUUAGGGUGAUUAAGAAAAUCAAGACUCAUUUGACUACAAAACAAAGUUAACACUAUUUUUCUCUCUUUUUCAAAUUUUCAUUUCAAAAAUAAAACCCGACUUUGCAAAUAGGGCCUUUCAGCACUUUUGGAGAGAAUAUUUUAAGAUUGUGCUUGCUAACCGGCCAAAAUGUCGAAAAAAAAGACCAAAGGUGGUUGUUCUUACAAUAUUAGCCUUCCGACGUUCUUUUGGGAAAUUCGGCUAUUUUUUACAAAAAUGGUUUCACCGUACUUAUUUCCAACAAAGUAAUAAAGUUUUGAUGCCUUUUGGACUAUUUUUGCAAAAGGAAAGUUGGACCCGAUGGGGGUUGCCUACGUAUCCCACAUCCGGUGAGAAUCAAAUUGGCGUAAUUUGGGCAAUUAUUAAGAAACAAUAACCAACUUUUUUUAACCUUUUUUCAAAACAAACAAAAGAUUUCUUGUUUUUUUUUCAAAAUUUUGGUAGAGUUUCAGUAUAUUUUAGACAUCGAUUUUCCAAAAACAAGCAAUUAUCUCUCUUAGCCCUCAAGUUGAAUUUCCUUUUCCUCAAAUUUUCCCAUAUAAGCCGGUCAACAUGCAAAUCCGAAGCAAAUGAAUAUACAAGUAGCAAGUAGGAUGCAUCAGGAUGGUCUCCAAAGUUAAAUGCUCAUGAUGUAAAUAAGCGUUCCUACUAGGGAUCUAGCAUGAGGCUGAGAUAUUCUAGGUCUAAAUUGUUAGUGUAUUGUUCUAUACCUGGCCUACCCGAGCGGACAACUCGAGUCGGGGGAGAGGGGGGAGGGGGCAGCAUACCGGCAACCAAAAGAACAUCUGACUUUGCAACUACUCUGAACCUCGUCCUGUUUGGGAUAUGACACUAACAGAAAGAAGUCACGCCAGUGUGCGCUCCUCAGAAAAGAGAAGAGAGGGGUUUCGUAGCAGUUUAUAUAUAUUGUUCAAAUAAUAUCAAAGCGGUAAAAAGUAACAUUUAGCACAUUAUACCCAAACAUGUAAUAAAAUCAGAUAAUGAAUAAAGCCAAAUACAACAAUUAUUCCAAGCUCAAAUUCUGAACCCUGAAUAAGAGAUUCAGGGUUCGAUCCCCAGUAGAGUCUCCAGAGCUGUCACACCUCCUUUUUUACAUACACCCCUCGAAAAGGGUAUAAGGGAAUUUUUUCCAACUUAAAGUGACAAUCGAAACAGUAUUUAUUUAUUAAAAUUUCAGAAUUACCACUUAGGACAAUUAAUGUUGUCUCAAGUCACCAGUUCAACUUCUGAAUCGAGGAAAAUAUUGACAGUGGUUUACAGUCCGGGAACACAGAAAUCUGAGUAAGGAAUAUUGUUAGUCCGGGAGAAGGUAUUAGGCAUUCCCGGAUUCCUGGUUCCAGCACGGUUGCUCAACUGUUAUUACUGGCCUUUUAUCUGGUUUUAAAACACUUUUAAACCUAUGUGCAUUUUAACUUUAUAACCGCUUAUACUCAUUUUUUAGGAAGAUUGAAAUGUCAUUUAAAAUAAGUUUUGAACCACAUCACAUAAAUGCACUCGCGGUCUGCAACACAUUUUAUAUAAAAUUGUUGAGAUUUGGAUUUGGGUCACAUAAAUGCACACCCUAGUUUAGGAAGGUAAAGUAUUAAAAUAACGCACCUAAAGCAACUAUACAUUUUUAAAAUUUGCGAGGGCCAUGGAAAAUUUGCUAAAUAGCAUGCCUCAAAUUCUUAGGAUUAAAAAAAAUUAAAUGAGGGCUACACAUUUUGAGAUCUUAUUGGGCACGACGCACCUCAAUUACAAUUUUAAAAGGGAAUUCAAACUAAAUUUUAAAGGGUCAUAAACUAUUUCUUAUCUAUUAUGGUUCACCUCUACUAACUAACCACCUAGUCAAUUGAAAGACCAAAGGGAAUUUUGGAUUUACUUAAAAGAAAAUGCUUCAAUUUAAACGUAAAUUGGUUAAUUACAACUGCUGAGCUACCCAAACGCCUUGAAUAAAACUGGGCCAAUAGCAGACUUUAGUGGAGAUAACCAUAUUGAAAAAAAAGGGGCAUAUGUGAUAAAUCAAGGCAAAUGGUUCAAAGCACAAAAGCCUCCAGACAUGGGCUCAAGUGAGCCCAAAUUGAUGAAACAACCAAUACCCCAUGAGAGGUGUAUCUGACUUCAGUUGUUAUUCAUUUGGGCCGGCGUUUGGCCCAGUUCUUGUAACCCAAAUGAUUUGAGCUCAAAUUAAAUAGCACAAACCAAACUACCGUUGACAUGGAGCAAAAGAUUGAAUUUGCAGAAUCAAAUUAUGAUUUUAAAACAACCAACACAAAUUAACUAAGCAACUUCUAAUUUCAUCCUUGUGCAACUUUAGGACAAACAUGCUUUAUGAUCAAUCCAACAACCAAAUUCAAUAACUAAUGGCCAUGAGGAACAAGUCCCAGACAGCAAUGGUAAGCCAUCUCCCUUGCAUAUAAUCUCAAAACCCAAGGUUUAAAGAGCCCAAACAUUGUAAGGAAAGGGUCGAGGGUCACAGACUCGAAGUCCAGUCUCUACCAACGCAAAUAACCCCUCCACAGUUAGUAACAAACCAAUAGAACCCAUUAUCACCCAAUAAAUGGUACACCAGGACAUUUAAUAUCACUAAGAACAGAGGUUCGAUUUCAAACUCGAAAAAUAUUUAUGUUUGGAUUCGAAUACAAACUGAACUUACAAAUAACUCAUGGCAACCCAAAUCAGACUUGGGCUCCAAACAAAUAACUCAAAUCACUUCCAAAUAGAGCUUUUCUAAUUUUUUAUUGAAAGCUAAAAGCUAAAAAACACCCUUGAGAAUUCCACUCGCAGAGUCUCAAAAUUUUUGAAUGUUUCGGGCUCCAACAAAACAAUAAGUUAACCCAGACUUAAUCACCAAGACACAAUUAACAAUUAACAGAGCCUACAACUCAAACACAAAUACAAAUGGUGUGAAGAAAUAAAAAACCAAAAAUGAAAAAUAAAACUCAGAAAGAUAAAAUAAAGAAACAAGUAGAGGUAAAUGACAAUAGAACAAACAUAGAAAUUAAUGAUCAAAUAGUAAACAAAAGAAAUACCUAAAAAUCUCAAACCAAAGCUUGGAAUCGGACCUGGGCAUUCAAAUUUUGGCCGAAAUGAACCUUAAACUUGUGUUUUCAAACGAACACACUCGAAUAGGUUUAACUUCGACCUCAAACCUUCAACAAAUGUUUGCAAAUUUGAAUGUUGGACAUUUAGGUUUGUGCUCUGAUUAAAAUUUGAGGAUUUCGAGGAACGUUCAAGGAAAAAGAGCCAUAGAUUUGGAAAGAGGGGAGUGAGGGGGUUCUGAGGUGUAAUUUUUGUGAUGUUUGGAGGUGACGCCACCGGUAGAAGCGGCUGGAAUAUUAGGGUGGCGCUAGGCUUGGUAUGGGAUUCUCUGAGGGUGAAGUGGCUGAGAGAUACGGGUUUGGGGUGGUACUGAGAUUCAGACACUAUUAUACUAGCCCACAUCAUUUCAG
rnacentral:lncRNA from 1 species